AGUGAACGCUGGCGGCGUGCUUAACACAUGCAAGUCGAACGAGAACGGGUUAUAGCUUGCUAUAAUUGUCAGCUAAGUGGCGCACGGGUGAGUAAUGUAUAGGUAAUAUGCCUCUUACUAAGGGAUAACAAAUGGAAACGUUUGCUAAUACCUUAUACUCCUUAUUAACAGAAGUUAAUAAGGGAAAGACUUAUUGGUAAGAGAUUAGCCUGUAUUGUACCAGUUAGUUGGUGAGGUAAUGGCUUACCAAGACUAUGACACAUAACUGGUUUGAGAGGAUGAUCAGUCACACUGGAACUGAGACACGGACCAGACUCCUACGGGAGGCAGCAGUGGGGAAUAUUGCACAAUGGACGAAAGUCUGAUGCAGCAACGCCGCGUGGAGGAUGACACAUUUCGGUGCGUAAACUCCUUUUAUAUGAGAAGAUAAUGACGGUAUUAUAUGAAUAAGCACCGGCUAACUCCGUGCCAGCAGCCGCCGUAA
rnacentral:rRNA from 1 species